rnacentral:lncRNA from 1 species
GGAUUACCAGAUCUGGCUUUUGAGCUAACCUUACUUGCUGUUGAUGGCUUGGUUUUCUAUCUGGGGAAGUGAAAAGAGAAACACUAAAAUGGAGGAACAAUUUAAAGUUUUACAACAGAGUUUUAAAGGUGGUAAAGGAUGCUGGCCUGGAAAGGACACAUGUGGCUUCCUUCAGCUCAACCUUGGCUCCUCCUUACCAGCUCUGUUUUGCCUCUGGUGAUAAGAAUAUCUCCUCAACGACCCCUCAUCCUUAGCCUCCUCUGGGAGAGGCAACAUCUAAUGGAUUCGCAUAGCUGAAAAGUGACACGCCAGAGUCAUAUGAGCCCAAACGUAGGCUGUUCUUAGAAACAUCUUGCUACCUUUCCUUAUAAUCAUCCCUAUUUUCUUCCUUAAAACAAUGACUAUCUCCAUUUUAAAACUUAAAAAUCAAGUUAUCAUUCAAAUUAGUGGGAUCUUAUUAAUCAAAAUGAAAAGGUUCUUGGUUACCCACAACUUAAGAGUCUAGUGAGUGACUAAAAUCUAGAAUUUACCUGUGCCAAAUUCCAAAUGAAUGCUUUGCAAGACUUUGCAACUAUCCAGUACUAGCAACAUAAUACUUGUAAUAAAUGCUUCCGGGUAAGGAACUGCAU